UUGACUCACGCGGGAAUCUUACCGGGUCCGGACACACUGAGGAUUGACAGACAAACAAUUUAUAUUGUUACAAAGAUGCUAGUUCUUUCAUGAUUAUGUGAUAGGUGGUGCAUGGCCGUUCUUAGUUCGUGGAGUGAUCUGUCUGCUUAAUUGCGUUUCAAUAUUUAAAUAUGUAUACGUAUGACCCAAUAACUAUGUUGUUGUGUGUCUAGUAUUACUAUCAUUUGAAAGCAACGAACGUGACCGUAUCCUUUUAUUAUAUACACACAUGUAUAUUGUUUUUAAAGGGACCGCU
rnacentral:rRNA from 1 species